rnacentral:rRNA from 1 species
UCAAGCUACCAAGGGCACAUGGUGGAUGUCUUGGCGUCGAGAGGCGAUGAAGGACGUUGGAACCUGCGAUAAGCCCAGGGGAGCUGGUAACCGAGCUUUGAUCCUGGGAUUUCCGAAUGGGGAAACCCGGCCCGUAAGGGUCAUCCGUGUCUGAAUGCAUAGGACACGGAGGCGAACCCGGUGAACUGAAACAUCUCAGUAACCGGAGGAAAGGAAAGCAACCGCGACUCCGUAAGUAGCGCCGAGCGAAAGCGGAUCAGCCGAAUUGCAUCGUGAACAGUCUGUGAAAGGCUGACCACAGAAGGUGAUAGUCCUGUAGUGGUGUUUAUUUCGGCAUGGCCUCGAGUAGGUCCGGGCUCGUGGAACCCGGUCUGAACAUGGGGGGACCACCCUCCAAGCCUAAGUACUCCUCGACGACCGAUAGUGAACCAGUAACGCGAGUGAACGAUGAAAAGCACCCCGACAAGGGGAGUGAAAAGUACCUGAAACCAUGUGCUUACAAGCGGUCGGAGCCCUUCGGGGUGACGGCGUGCCUUUUGCAUAAUGAGCCUGCGAGUUACUCUCUGCUGCAAGGCUAAGCUGAAUCCCAGCGGAGCCGAAGGGAAACCGAGUCUUAAAAGGGCGUCGAGUAGCAGGGAGUAGACGCGAAACCCGUUGAUCUACCCAUGGGCAGGUUGAAGAGAGGGUAAAACCUCUUGGAGGACCGAAGCCUUGAACGUUGAAAAGUUCUGGCAUGACCUGUGGGGAGGAGUUAAAGUCUAAUCAUAACGGGAGAUAUCUCGUUCUCUCCGAAAUAGUUUUUGGACUAGCCUCAGGUGAUACCCUGCGGGGGUAGAGCGACUGGAUGGGGCUGGGGGGCCACAAGCCUACCCACCUCAACCAAACUCCGAAUACCGCAGUGGCGUAUCCUGGGAGUAAGACUACGGGGGAUAAUCUCCGUGGUCAAAAGGGAAACAGCCCAGACCGCCGGCUAAGGCCCCUAAAUGUGUCUAAGUUGAAAAGGUAGUCAGAUUGCGAUGACAGCCAGGAUGUUGGCUUAGAAGCAGCCACCAUUUAAAAAGUGCGUAACAGCUUACUGGUCGAGGAAUUUGGCGCCGAUAAUGAUCGGGGAUAAGACACAUGCCGAAGCCGCGGGCGACUUAUGUCGCGGUAGGAGAGCGUAGCUGUCAGCGUCGAAGCUUGCCCGAGAGGGCAGGUGGAGCGGCAGCUAGUGAAUAUGCAGGCUUGAGUAACGAUAAACGGAGUGAGAAUCUCCGUCGCCGAAAACCUAAGGUUUCCUGGGGAAGGUAAUUCCGCCCAGGGUUAGGCGGUACCUAAGGCGAGGCCGAAAGGCGUAGUCGAUGGACAGCAGGUUAAUAUUCCUGCCCUUCCAUGUGAGGUUGAUCCAGCGUGACGGAUCGUGAAGUUCGACGGCACAGUGAAGCGUGCAAGCCUUCGGGCUGAUGUCGGGUGGAUCGGUUCCAAGAAAAGCCGUCUGGUGACGAUCAUGGAAGCCGUACUAAAACUGACACAGGUAGGUGUGGCGAAAAGCCUCAGGCGCUCGAGAUAAUGGUCGUGAAGGAACUAGGCAAAUUGACCCCGUACGUUCGCAAUAAGGGGGCCCUCCUCGCAAGAGAGGGCGCAGAGAAGAGGCUCUGGGGACUGUUUAUCAAAAACACAGCACUGUGCUAACUCGCAAGAGGACGUAUACAGUGUGACGCCUGCCCGGUGCCGGAAGGUCAAGGGAGUCGGUUAGCUUCGGCGAAGCUGACGACCGAAGCCCCGGUAAACGGCGGCCGUAACUAUGACGGUCCUAAGGUAGCGAAAUUCCUUGUCGGGUAAGUUCCGACGCGCAUGAAUGGCGUAAC